rnacentral:rRNA from 1 species
GGGUCAGUAGGUUGGUCGUGCCACCGGUACGUACUGGUCUCACUGAUUCCUCCUUCCUGAAGAACCGUAAUGCCAUUAAUUUGGUGUUGCGGGGAAACAGGACUGUUACUUUGAAAAAAUUAGAGUGUUUAAAGCAAGCUAACGCUUGAAUACAUUAGCAUGGAAUAAUGAAAUAGGACGAUCGAUCCUAUUUUGUUGGUUUCUAGGAUUGACGUAAUGAUUAAUAUAGAUAGUUGGG